UGGGGAAUAUUGCACAAUGGAGGGAACUCUGAUGCAGCGACGCCGCGUGAACGAAGAAGGCUUUCGAGUCGUCAAGUUCUUUUAUAUGGGAAGAUAAUGACGGUACCAUAAGAAAAAGCCCCGGCUAACUACGUGCCAGCAGCCGCGGUAAUACGUAGGGGGCUAGCGUUGUCCGGAAUCACUGGGCGUAAAGGGUUCGCAGGCGGAAAUGCAAGUCAGGUGUAAAAGGCAGUAGCUUAACUACUGUAAGCAUUUGAAACUGCAUAUCUUGAGAAGAGUAGAGGUAAGUGGAAUUUUUAGUGUAGCGGUGAAAUGCGUAGAUAUUAAAAAGAAUACCGGUGGCGAAGGCGACUUACUGGGCUCAUUCUGACGCUGAGGAACGAAAGCGUGGGUAGCAAACAGG
rnacentral:rRNA from 1 species